AUCUUCGUUCACUCUUCAUUUUUUUUAAUGUGCCCUGUCUUUCUCUUUUCUCUGUAUUUCUAGCAUCCACCACCAUGAUGAGGAAGAUCAUAUCUUACUGGCGAGAACACUCUGAUCUUCAAGCUCUGAGGAGAUCGUCGUCUUCACCGUCGUCUUCAAGCUCUGUAUUUCUUUCUUUCUUCUCAAUUUCUUUUUGUUUUUAAUUUAAAUUAUUUUGGCGAUUUUCUUAGCUAAAAUUAGGGGCGUUUUGUUUGAUUCGUUUUGUAGCAAAGCUAGUAUAUAUCAGUUAUACAAAGAGGGGAACCAAUGAAGAAGUGAGGUGCAGCACGGUGAAGUUCAUGGAGGUUUGAGAAGCAAGAAGAAAAAGAGAGGCCAACGUGCUGUUGGAGGGGAUAAGAGUGGAAGAGGGCUCUGCCAAUUUAGUAUGAAAGUGUGUGAGAAGGUGGAAAGCAAGGGAAGAACAACUUAUAAUGAGCAAUGCCUACUGGCGACCUUCACCUGGCUACUGGCCAAGUUCCAAAUUCAGGUCUAUGAGCUUUUACAAAGGGUUUAGAAAUCUUUGGGGCCCUCACCAAAGCUUAGACCAAAAUGCAUUAACAAUUUGGCUUGAUAGAACCUCAGGAAAUGGCUUCAAGUCAAUUAGUCCAUUUCGAUCCGGGUACUUUGGUGUUAUAACGGCUUUCUAUGUAAUGUUCAAAUGAUUUGACAAAAGAAUAUGUUAAUUGAUGGAAGCUUACACAUUUAUGUUUGGUUUGUUAAAUCAUGCACAGUUUAUGUAGGAUAUAAUCUCAGUGUAUAUCCUACAGGCACAUCUAUAUUUCUCUCAGGUAAGGGCAGCAAAAAGUAGCAGAAUGAGGACACAGUAGCUUGAUUACGUAUAGAUCCAUAAACUUGAGUUUAUAUAUUUGGGAAUGUAUUUUAAUACCCUAGCUCGUGCCCUGAAUACCUUCUGUUUAUUAUAGUUUAGUCUUCUUGUGGAUUGUAAUGACAUUAUAUUCAGUUGACGAACAAUAUUA